UGCGUAGGCGGGGCAAUAAGUCAGUGGUGAAAUCCUGCGGCUUAACCGUAGAAUUGCCAUUGAUACUGUUGCCCUUGAGUAUAGUUGAAGUGGGCGGAAUAUGUAAUGUAGCGGUGAAAUGCAUAUAUAUUACAUAGAACACCAAUUGCGAAGGCAGCUCACUAAGCUAUCACUGACGCUGAGGCACGAAAGCGUGGGGAGCGAACAGGAUUAGAUACCCUGGUAGUCC
rnacentral:rRNA from 1 species